CUUCUAAUAUGUGUGUAAUUCUAUUUUUUUUCAGACAAGCUAAUGAUCCAGGAAGAGGAAAGACAUUUUCAGGGCAGCACGAAUAUAAAUGAUAAACUAUGCUAUCUUCUACUCUGGCAGUGCAGCCAUUUUCCUGUCAGAGAAGCCCAGAAAAAGGAGGAAAACGAAUGCAAAAUUUCCUAUUGAAUGACUCAAUUCACCUGGAAUUGCAUUUGAAAUAAUGAAAGCUGUCUCCCAUUAGCAAAGUCCUGUGCCCACUAUUGAAACUAGAUUGUGUGCUGUGGAAUUGCAGUCCUGUCUUAAAAAAAAAAAAAAUUAGCGUUCCUGCUGGGAGAGCACUGAAUGACAAAAUACACUCUGCUCAAAGUAACACAGGGAUUUAUAUCACUCAUGUCACUACAAGAAAGGACUAAUUUACAGGUUAUUAAUUACAAAAUUUUGCAACUGUUUCAGUGCCAAAUGUUAAUGCAUUAUGCAGUAACAUCUCUAGAUUGUGAUAAAUUUGGAAUUAUUCUUAAAUGGUUUUGAAAGUUAUACUGAAUCCUGUGAUUGACUCUUGAUUUCUAAAUGCAUAGAAGAUGCCAUAAGCCUGUAAACAUCCAUAUCCUGAAUCAGGUCUUAUUGAAUAUUGUUUCCUCCCAAACCACUGAUUCAUGUUCCAAAAUUUAAGUGUUCAUAAGCAUAUUAUUUAGCCAAAUAUUGUAAGGUCAGUUACAUAUGACUGCUGGCAUGAACAAUGGCAAAAGUGGUGAAUGUACAUUAAUUCCUAUUCUCUUUCCACAUAAAUGGGCUCAAGUAGUUAUUCUCAUAGGUUUAGUUCAGCAAACAGCCCUCUGCACUCAGUGGAUUAGCUGAUUUAAAAUACUUUAUGCAUGACAAGAAUCUGAUCAUCAAAACAUACUGAAUUUUACUUCUGGAAUUCAUGCUGUUUUCCAUUUUACUCUGUUAAUGGAAGUGGUACAAAUGUUGCUCAUGAGGCCUUGAGAGAGGGCUCAAGACAGCAAGAUGUGUCAGGUUGCAAGUGUCUGAUGAAAACUGAUGGAUCCUUCUGGAGAAACAUUAGGGGCAUAAAGAGAUCAUUUGUUCUCUUUCUGGUGUUUAAAUUAAUGUGGUGUAUUUCAACAUUACUACACUCAAAAAAUAUUUCAUAUGUAUAAUAAAAGAACCUUUUGUGUCUGUGA